UCAUAAAAUCUUCUUACAGGUGCCCCCCGGGGAGAAUAGGGAAUCGGGUGCAAGUCCCGAGCGGUCCCGCCACUGUAAACGGUGAGCCGAUACCAAUUCUAAGCCACUGGCCGGCAGGUUGGGAAGGCAGGUAUUAAGGCAGUGACCCGUAAGCCAGGAGACCUGCCUGUAGGAAGUUUUAUUA
rnacentral:ncRNA from 2 species